ensembl:lncRNA
CAUUUUUUAACCAGUAGAAAAAUAAUCAAUUAUGCAAAAAUGUCCGUAAACACAAACUAAGUAAUUUCCAACAUAACUCAGGACCAUCGGUGAUAAUGCCAGAAAUAUUCACUAAGCCAGUCUCAAGCAAACUAUGGUCUGAGGGCCAAUCCAGCUCCCAGCUGACCUGGGACCCAAGGAUGUUUUUUAUGUUUUUUAAAACAUGGUAACAAAGAAAGCGCAGAAGAAUCAACAGCAACUGUUCAUAACCGGCAACAUCUAAGAUAUUUCCAGAAAAAAGUUUGCCUACCCCUGUAGCAAGCAGUUCCAAACUCCGUGAGGUGAACUGCGUUUUCCAUCUCAGACCACACGCAGGUGGAUAAAGCCUUCUGUCCUAGUGUUGACUUUCCACGGUGGGGGCACAGGCUGGUGGGUAAGCUAGGCCAGGAAAGAAGAUGGCGUUAGAUAAGGGCUUCAAAGAAACAGGCCUCAGGGUUGGUGGAGAAGUAGGGAGUGGCUUGUUAGGAGGGUGAUUCUUAAAAUGAACCUUCAAGGCCAUUGGAGAUUUUGAGGCAUACAGGAGGGGAGAGUGAACAGGGGAUCAGAGAGACCAGAAUGCAGGCAGUUUCUGUAACCCGCUGAGACUCACUCUCAGAAGCACUUAGGUGGCUGAAGGUGGCCUACCAGGCCGGAACGUGAGAGAGGGGCUUGUGGCAGCCACGUCUAUGCUGCCAGAAGAGCUGCCUCAGAGCUGCCUGUCGUUGGCCCUUGGAAGCCGAGGGAGAUACUAAAGUUUCUAGAGAAAGUUGAAGAAGCAGCUGUGAGGUGACAUCAAGGAGGGAGAGAGAGUACUGGCCUCCUUCCAAAGUACUCCUAGGACUUGGAGGGAAAUUGUAUGUGGAAUAUUCUUUCCAAUAUUGGUGGUGUGGCUCCUGUAUAAUUUGCCAGAUGAAAAUCAGGUGCACAUCUCUUCUGUCAAGAUAGAGACCAAUAUUUUCAGGGAAAAGUCAGAGAGAGGCAUCAGGAGGCAUGAAGCAUACUGGCAUGAGGCCUGCAGUGGACAAACACACAGAUCUUCAUCACUACAAAAAAGAUGCCUUGAUUUUCUCCCAUCCCAUCAAGCCAAACCUCAGAGGACCGCAGGAGGGAGAACUUGGUGGAGUAAACACACAGAGAACUUGAAGCACCUGUUGAACCACUCUUUUGGGUUGAAGAGAAUCCCUAAAGAACUGACACUGUCAGGUAUUCUUUAUGGUCAGGGAGUUAAUGGCCUAAAGUUCAAUUUGGGCUGAACAUUCUAAUAAGGCAGGUUCAAAU